rnacentral:lncRNA from 1 species
GAGAAUGUUGAAGGGGUUGUGGAUGUGGACGAGGAGGAAGAGAGUGAUGCGGAUGAAGAAGAGGUGGAGACAGCUGCUGGAGCAGCAGGACCCGCUGCCGAGGGGAUAAAUGGCCAUCAGAGCAAUGGGUAUGCGGUAGAAGAUGAUGACGAGGAUGAUGAUGAGGAUGAUGUUUAUGAGGAAGAGGAUGUGGUGGAAGUUCAUGGGGUUGGUGGGGACAGCGAUGAUGAGGAGGAUGGGGUUGAGGACGAGGAUGAUGAUGGCGAUGAUGAUGACGAUGAGGACGAAGAAGAGGUUGAUAAUGAGGAUAGAGAUGGGGAGUUUGGGGAGCCAGAGAGUACGGGGAGGUUGACCAGCACAGAAGGUGAGAUUGAUGGUCAUGAACAAGGGGAGGAAGAUGGGGAUGAUGAUGGUGAGACUGGGGAGGAAGAGCAGGUUGUUGAGGAUGAUAGAGAGUUUGAAGUUGAGGAUGAAGAUGAUGCUGAAGAGGAGGUGAGAAAUGAGAACGCAGUUUCUUAUCUUUUAUGUUGUGGUAUCAUAGAAUUUUGCAUUUUCCUAUCUUUUAUGUAUGUGCCUCUUGUUGCUGGAUUAAUGGUUUGUUUGCUGUUGUGUUUUCAGAUAAGAAGAGGACUUGACUGCUCUUAAAUUCCUUUUUCUGCUGUUAUUUCUGAUUUUUGUGCAUUGUUUUGGGUUGUACACUUUUGUCGAGAUUUUAAUUAUCUGGAUCUGGUAGACAUAUUAGGUGUUUUUUUCUGUUGUUGUUGGGGGGGGGGGGUUGUUUCGAGCAGUUGUUAUGGUUUAACAGUACUACCGAUCUCAAAUGCACUUUUACAUCAUGGAUAUUCUGUGUUAGUAUCUUUUUGCUGGUUUGCAUACUUUCUGAGUAAUUGAUGUUCUCUCCUUUCGUCCUAUCUACUUCGUGUUAAAAGGAGCUGCCUCAGAUUGUUGAGUUUUUUUUUCAUCAUCUCAAUUAUUCUUAUAAUAUUUUUAUUAUGAGAAAUGAAGGUUUUUUAGUUUGUGAAAUUAAUUUUAGGAAAUGAAGUUUGAAAAUUGUUCAAAUUACACCAUGCUCUUAAAUGAAAUAUCAUUUAGAUAUUGACAUGUUCUUGAGACUGGUUGUUUUCUCAAAAAUGCUUAAGAAAAACCCUGACUGGCAUUUGGUUCUGUGAAUAAGAUUAUUUGCAGUUUCAAUUUUGGUCUUCCUAUAUGUCUCCUUUAAAUGGUAAUCUUAAGUAUUUAUGUUCAUGAGACAUUAUAGUGCUGUUUUGUAUUUUCCUUUCAUUCAGCUGUAUUAUGUUUGUGAAUUUGCUUUUUGGUGUUUUGGUUGUUAAAAUGUAGUGAAGCCAUCAGUAAAGCAAGAUUCCACUGCCAUCUACGGUGCUUAUUUUCUGUUUUAUCUAUGGAUCUUUAUGAAAUAUUUGUUUGUUGAUGAUCUCUAAAAGAUUGGCCUAUUGUAAAUAGUCUAUGCAUGUUGAUGAUUACAUGGUGCAGGAUUGUUUGGGAGUGAUGUGCAUGGACAUAGUCUGAUUGGCUAUUUUGCUUUAAUUUUAAGACUGUCUAAUGUGUGCAGGAUUCUCUGGGAGUGAUGUGCAUGGACAUAGUCUGAUUGGCUAUUUUGCUUUAAUUUUUAGACUGUCUAAUACUAUUUCUAAGCAUUUUUUCACCAUUAUUUUUGUAGGGUUUUUCUUUUAUUUUGUGUUUUGGAAGUAUUUAUAUAAUUCUUUUAGCAUUCAGACCUUGCUUUCUUUACAUAUCAAAAUUUCUGGUACCCUGUUUUCUGUACUAACCCUCAGAGGCUUGAUGGAAUUGGCAGGAUGAAGACUGCGGCACAGGGUAUUUAGUUCAGCCAGUUGGGCAGGCUGAGGAACAUGAUGGCAGUGAUAUGGAGCCUGGUAAUGAAGAUGAUGCUGAAGAUGAGGAAGAAGUUGAAGAUGAUGAUGAAGUCCAGGAUCUGCCACCAUCUUCUUCUUCUUUACACCCCAAGAGAAAGAGAGAUGAUAGUGCUGAUGAAGAUGAGAAUGGGGAGGAUGAUGAGGAAGAUGAUGAUGUUGUUGAGUUCAGCAAGUCAUCUUCAAAGAAGCACCAUUAGCCUCUUACAAUCUAAUCUCACGGGUUAAAUAUUUUUGUUAAAAUGUCUUCUU